AAGCCAUUCUCUGGGGAAAGAACAUUCCAGGCAGAGGGAACAGCACAUGCCAAGGCCCUGAGCAGAAAAUACUUCACAGAACUGAGACUGUGAUUACGUGUCCAACCAGAGACAGGCAGUGCUGCGUCAAUUAAGAUCGCCAGCGGAUUAUGGAGGGCAGACGUAAUGUGCCUUGGCGGAGCAGUGGUGAAUUAGAGUGAUGGUAGUGAGCGGAGAAAGAGGAGGGGAGUCUGCUUAAGGAAGUUACUUGUCGUGAGGAAAGGUGACAGCCUCUCCACUGGAGUGCCCAAUGACUGGAAGCUCAGCCCUGAGCUAACUGCUGCCAAUCCUUCUCUUUUUGCUGAAGAAGACUGGCCCUGAGCUAACAUCCAUGCCCAUCUUCCUCUACUUUAUAUGUGGAACCCCUGCCACAGCUUGACUUGAUGAGCGGUGCCAUGUCCUCACCCGGGAUCCCAACCGGCAGAGCCCGGGCCGCCAAAGUGGAACGUGCGCACUAACCGCUGCGCCACCGGGCCAGCCCGCACUGCUUCCUUUUGAAUCACUUGUGAUCUUUGGAAU
rnacentral:lncRNA from 1 species